AUUAAUUUAUACCUUCUCUCCUUCUUGUGGGGUCCUCCUUUUUCACAGGUAAAGGACAGCCUCAUCACCAGCCUGGAAAGGGUUGUUAUGCCCACUAAAAAGCUCUCUGCUUGAUGGGUUUUCACGGCGACAUUCAUCAAAUAUCAACUGGACUUUGAUCUCUGGCUUCAACCCAAUUCACUAUCCCUCAGUUUCUCUCCUUUUUGGUUUUCUUCUUGAGUUUCGCGUUGGGACGCGCCAACCACUGGGCAUUAAAGGCUUCUGUCCGUGAGUGGAUGUGGCUAAUGUAACUGAUUGCUCUUUGAAGAGGCUGGGCCAGGAUCAACCAGCUUGAGCUUGGUUGAUCAUGACUACAUUUUAGAGGGGAGUGAGGCCUGGUUUGUUGAGAUUAGACAUUUGGUUGCUUUGGGAUGUCUGCUACCUCUUCUCUCUUGACCAGUUGUUGGUCCCCACUUGCACGUAAGUAGGGGCUGGUUUGUUGAGAUUAGACAUUUGGUUGCUUUGAGAUGAUUUUUAUUUUUGAACCUCUGUUGCCUCUUCUCUCUUGCCCAAUUACUGGUGUUGGAAUGUUACAAGGUAAGGUUCUAUUUCAUUUAUGGUUUGGUUUCCUAUCCAGUUCCCCGUUCAAUUCCCAGUUUAUUGCUUUUCACAUGAAUUAUUUGCCUGUCAUGAAUAGGAUGUUUGUGCUUUGAGAAAUUAGGUUGCUUUAUUUCUCAGGAAAACAAUGUGACAUGUGAGUGAAUCCACUGUGGAUUUAAACAGUGUUUUUCGUUAUGAUUUUCUCAUUCUCGCCUUUCUUCUCGCGUGAUUUGAUGUCUUCACUGGCUUUCUUCUCUACACUUGUAUUAAUUAUUUUCCA